CGACCAGCGCACGGGUGAGUAACGCGUAUCCAACCUGCCUUACACUCUUGGACAGCCUUCUGAAAGGGAGAUUAAUACAAGAUGUUAACAUGAGUAAGCAUUUUCACAUGAUUAAAGGUUUACCGGUGUAAGAUGGGGAUGCGUUCCAUUAGAUAGUAGGCGGGGUAACGGCCCACCUAGUCUUCGAUGGAUAGGGGUUCUGAGAGGAAGGUCCCCCACAUUGGAACUGAGACACGGUCCAA
rnacentral:rRNA from 1 species